rnacentral:lncRNA from 1 species
GACCUGAGGAUGCCAGCCGCACAGAGCACGAUGUUGGCCACAGAGCAGGACGGGCCUGCGCUUCCUUCCUGUCAUCACGUGGGGAUAAUCUUUACCUCUCAUUUAAAAAGGCCAAUAGCGCCCAUGUCACAGGGAUUAUCAGCAGCCGCUCUGACAGGUGGAUGACGCGUGCUCGGGCAGAAGAGAUUGAAACCCAGCAGGGCGGCGAGGCCGGAAGGCGGUGAAGUUCACUCCAGCACGGCGUCCGGCAGCUGCAGAGGCCCUGUGUCCACACAGGCACUGCGGAUACUCGCCUUGUCCUGAGACGAGGGAAGGCCAGGGAGAGCUUCCAUGCGACCCCCUAGCUGCAGAUACUCCACACGCUGAGAGUCAGCUGAGCUCGAACA